rnacentral:rRNA from 1 species
UUGGGGGGUCAUUUAGUAUUCAAUUGUCAGAGGUGAAAUUCUUGGAUUUAUUGAAGACUAACUUCUGCGAAAGCAUUUGCCAAGGAUGUUUUCAUUUAAUCAAGAACGAAAGUUAGGGGAUCGAAGACGAUCAGAUACCGUCGUAGUCUUAACCAUAAACUAUGCCGACUAGGGAUCGGACGAUGUUAAUUUUUAAUGACUCG